UGUGUCUGUGUGUGUGUGUGUGUGUGUGUGUGUGUGUGUGUGUGUGUGUGUGUUUACAGGGCACCGGUGGAGGAAAUAUUAAGAUCAUUUACUUAUAGACCCCUUAUAGAAGAAAUUUACAGACCCCGCUUAAGUAAAAGUACCAUAAAACAACACGAAAUGAAAAUGUAAGUAUUGUUGACAAAAUGUAUCAAAAAUGUACAGAUUAAAUGUGUUACUUUCCAUUGCUUAAAGAGUAUUACUCAGUCCAUAUUUACCUUAACUCACACACACAUAAACCCAUGCGUAUACACACAAUCAGAGGACCCUUGAACUUCGCAGGCUAUGUCAGACUCGCUCUCCUCAGACAGUCUGUCUCCAGCGAGGCCUGGACUGGCAGAGCAGAGCAGAGCAUGAUUGGCCCCUGGUUGGCCCCUCUCUGCCCAGCCAUCAACCCUAAUCCCUUGGCUUUACGAACUGCAGGCCAGGGCAGCCUGCCAAAUCCUCCCCUGCUCCUUCUCUCCGCACUGCAGUUAGGACAUGCUAAGCUGAGCCCUCCACUGUACCCGCUCCAUCUCCACAAGCGCAUUUUCCAUACAUCACCCAUGAUUCUCUGCAGAUCAAAUACACUGCAUUCUCCUUCCCCCUCUGUGUCUCCUCCUUUUUCUCUGUGCCCCUCCCCCCAAGUUCUCACCAUCCCAAGGAAAUGAGCCAGAAGAUAAGGGUUAAGUGAUCAGAAUAUAUGCAGCAACACAUGGGAGACACUCGUUGUCUGUGUGAUGACACAAUCAUACAAUCAUGAGCACUGAAAUAGGAGUGAUGGUUGGUUCAUGGAAGCUUUGUUCUCACCCUGAACUGAGAGCUGACUGUGGGCUUGCGUCGGGCCGUGCCCAUCUUUAGGGUCUCGUCUCCACUUCUGCUACCGACGCGCUCAAAGAGGUCGUAGAUGAAGUCAAGCCUGCAGGCGCACAGUGCAGGACAGGGAAAAUGAUUGUAAAAGCUUGUAUAUGAACUCAUAUGAGUCAUACAGGUGUGUGUUCAGCAUGCAGGGGACAAGCAUGUGCUGUGUUUACCUGCUGUCUUUCAGAAUAAACAAAAUGUCAUCUCUGAA